rnacentral:snoRNA from 1 species
AUUGAGGUCUAUCCCGAUGGGGCUUUUCCAGUAGCCACACGUCGUUGGAAAUGCCUCAUACAGUAACACUGUGGUUUUCCUUAACUCAAAGGACUUCUUGAGCCUGUGUGAAGGAACCACAAAACAAUA